AUAUAUAUAUAUAUAUAUAUAUAUAUAUAUAUAUAUAUAUAUAUAUCCCAGGGCGAGGCUCACCAUUGCACUCCGGUGGCGCUGACCCCUGCGAUUAACCCAAAUGUGGUUAACUCGAGUGCGCAAUUUUUGGUAGCGGGGGACUGCGUUAUAGAGGCCGUGGUGCCCGA
rnacentral:snRNA from 1 species